AGGGUGAGACUUUAAGGGGCUUCCUGGGUUUUUAGUAUCCGUUUGUAACUUUCUUGGGGCCAAAGACCUUUCCACCAGCCGCGUUGUCAGAGCAAGAAUUCAGGCUGCUAUUUUUAAUGUCUGUAGAGCAGUUGUAUUUCCCUGGGGCUCCUGGAGGCAUUUAUCCAUCUUAGGCUUCCUUCCACAAACCACUAUUGGAGCACGGCUUUUGAAAUGGCAGCUGGCCGUGGCAGGCGCCGAUUCACCGUGCUUUAGUCGUCACUGUUGCUUCACACUUGAAAUUAACAGGCAAUGGGGCUGUGAAUAAUGAAGUCAAAGGCAGCUUUCUCCCUUGCAUCCCACUGGAAGUCCAGAUUGAAGGUAACUUUGGAUGACUUCUACAUACAUGCUACAUUCAUGCAUAUGGAGACAUAGAUGACAUCCAUCAGUACCAUGCCUUGUAGUUCAAGGAAGUCAAUCAAAAAGCCUGUCCUGUGUUUUCAGUUGAUAGCUGAUGCAAGCUGACUUGACUAUUCUGCUGAGGCUUAAUACCUAAGCUGAGGUACCAAAACAAGAGGAAGGAGCCCCUGGCCUGCAGCAAGCUGUGGACAAAUCUUGAAAGGAAUGAUAUCUUCUGGAUGAAAGAAAAGGACCAUAGGGAUGGAGAACAGAUGGAAAGGAAAGGGAGAGCUCCAACCAGCCAUCUCACGGUUCAGGUUUUGAAGCAUUAUCAGCCAAAAGAAAAUCCUGGGAACACAAUUUUCCACCAAAGCUGUCCUGCACAAAAAUGGUUUCAGGCCUCUUUGUCAAACCACAGUAGAUUUUUGACAUGUUUGAAAAGAUAUAAUUUCUUUCUCCACUAGUAGUCUUGUUCUGUAUAGGAAUGGUGAGAGAGGGAAAUACAAUAUGGGGGAAAAAAUGUGUAUGUUAACACCUGUAGCAGAUGGGUGCUCUUUCUGUUUAGAGUUUUGCUACUGAGUGUAUUAGGUACUGCUGGAUUUACAAAGAAAUAUGGACUUGCUUAUCAUCACCACAGGUAAGAUGACAUGAGAGCUACUUGAAGACUGUGAAGGUCUGUAAAAGUAGUUACAAAUGUUGCAUAGAUGACAUUCUUAUAUAGCUGUGUACAUCUUAUUAAGUUAAAUUAAAUGAAUAAUUAUUUUCAUGUUUCCAAUCUUCUAAUUGUGUAAUUAUAUUUAUGUAUAAAGGGAACAAUAUGUAAAGGGAGAAAUAACUGUGGGUCUUUUUACAUAUACACAUACAUAUGUAUGUGUGUCUAUGUGUAUAUACAUACA